GUUCUUAUCUUGUUGGGGUGAUUGCCCUUACUAUGUGCGGAUUAAUUGGUGUAUGUGUAUCAGGCAUGCAUGCACACUUUUGCUGAAUUUAAAAUCAAACAAUCACCACAAAAGGGAAUUUAAAUAAGAAAGGUUUAGAGGUUACCAAAGAAAAUUUUCCCAGCAAUUUUUAAAGCAAACCUUUACAGCAUUCCUUUGCCAAUAGUUCCCUUUUUGAUCGCUCCAGAUUUCCUCUUUGGUUCCUGAUCAAAUGAUACCAAGAAAAAUCAAAAAUUAGUAAGAGAGGAGAAGGAGAUAAGGAAAGUAAAAAUAGAAACUAUUUUUAUUUUAUUUUUUUAUUUUUCGAUUUUUUUUUGAAAAAUUUUUUUUUAAUAAAAAGAAAAACAACUAUGCUACCAAUCUCCGGCAACGGCGCCAAAAAUUGAUAGUCAACUUUAAAGACCACGCAAUAGCACGUAUCUGGUAGGAUAGUGAUUACGGGUAUCGAUCCACAGGGAUUGGAGUAUAGUUGUUUUCUUAAAAAUAAAAAUGUUUAAAAGGAAGAGUUUGUGAAGAAAAUUAAACUAAGGAAUUUAAUAAAGAAAAUGCAAUUAAAAUGAUAUCAAUUUGGGAGAACCUAAGGCAAGGAAUUCACCACUAACAUCAGAACAAGGGUUAUUUAUAUUUUAAUUUAUUCUUGGAUAAACAUACAAAUUGGCUACAAGCCUAAUAAGCAUUUAAAUAAAAUUUCACAAAAGUAAUUUGGGCAUAAUCCAUCUUCAGUUGGCAUGAAAUGUCUACCC
rnacentral:lncRNA from 1 species